rnacentral:rRNA from 1 species
GAUUUCUGGCGAACCGUUGCGGCCCGUGGUCGUUUCGGCCGUGUGUGCCGUGUCGUGUUUGUCAUCCUUCCAGAAAGCUGCGUCUACCAUUUACUUGGCCGGACGUACGUGAUCUGGAUCGAUUACUUUGAAAAAAUUAGAGUGUUUAAAGCAGGCUUAUGCUGUGAAUACAUUAGCAUGGAAUAAUAAUUUAGGACUUCGGUUCUAUUUUGUUGGUUUCUAGGACUGAAGUAAUGAUUGAUAGGGACAGUUGGGGGUGCUAGUAUUCCGCGGCCAGAGGUGAAAUUCUUGGAUUCGCGGAAGACUAACUACUGCGAAAGCAUU